rnacentral:rRNA from 1 species
AGUGAACGCUGGCGGUAGGCCUAACACAUGCAAGUCGAACGGCAGCACAGUAAGAGCUUGCUCUUACGGGUGGCGAGUGGCGGACGGGUGAGGAAUACAUCGGAAUCUACUUUUUCGUGGGGGAUAACGUAGGGAAACUUACGCUAAUACCGCAUACGACCUACGGGUGAAAGCAGGGGAUCUUCGGACCUUGCGCGAUUGAAUGAGCCGAUGUCGGAUUAGCUAGUUGGCGGGGUAAAGGCCCACCAAGGCGACGAUCCGUAGCUGGUCUGAGAGGAUGAUCAGCCCCACUGGAACUGAGACACGGGCCAGACUCCUACGGGAGGCAGCAGUGGGGAAUAUUGGACAAUGGGCGCAAGCCUGAUCCAGCCAUACCGCGUGGGUGAAGAAGGCCUUCGGGUUGUAAAGCCCUUUUGUUGGGAAAGAAAAGCAGCAGGUUAAUACCCCGCUGUUCUGACGGUACCCAAAGAAUAAGCACCGGCUAACUUCGUG